GCAGUACGACAGUUUUGCGAUUAGUUGGUGUGCCUUACGGCUCCACUUUCCUGCCUGACGGCUUCCUAGGCAUCUUGGGAUAUUCCCAUGAGAGAAGGCCAAUUCCUACAUAUCGGCAACAGCUCGCCCGGUUUACAACAGCGCUUGUUAGAGGCCUGUAUUCAGAAGACAAUGAAGUAUUGUGAGAAAGCUCUGGUGAGAGAAUGCUGCUGGCUGAAGAAGGGGGCAAAUGGAAGACCUGGCUGUAAGGCUAUUGUGUUCCUUAAGAGUAAGGUACCUGAUUAAGAAACAACCAUGUUUCCGACUUACAACAUACCCAAGAGCCAUGUUGGAAAAAGCGAUGCAAGGUUACACGAUCUCUAGC